UCGAUCCUUCUUGUUCUGCAUCAAAAGGUACCUUAGCAUAGGCAUAAGCCAGACCUUUAUGUCAAUAAGUUAACAAUAUUAAGAAUUUGGGAUGAUUAUUAACAACUGAUAUCUCUACGUUUUGUUCAUUGUUUAAUAUUUUUUUCCCAGUUUUAGUUUCAAGCUCUCCUCAUCCUCCCAACUUCAAAUUAUCAAGCUGCUUUCAAGACAUUCCGACGUGGAAAUGGCCAUAGGGUCAGAUUUUUGGAAGGAUGUUAGUGUGGGGAGCUAGCUCUAAAACCUCAAUUCCCCAUCAUCUAUGGCUUAGCCUUAUUCAGAUCCGAAAAACCAAGUGACCAUUUUUUUUAAUUUAGUUAGAAGGACAUCCAUCCUGCAAAAGAUGAAGGCCAAAAAGAUAGGCAUCCCUCAAUACAAAUAAAGUAAUCAAGUAAAAACAGUGUCUCACUACCUUAGGCAUUAUCUAUUUGAUUACACAGUUUACAACUAAAAAAGAAACUAAACCAAAGACUGACAAGGAAAUUUAAUAUCUUCUAGAAUCAUAUCUAACCCUAACAAAGUAUUUAAUAUGAGUUAAAAUUAGCAUUAUACUUUUCUGAGCAUAUACUUCAACAAUGCUUCUACCACCUCUAUUGCUAAAGGUUUAGAGAUUCUUUGCAUUCUAGCAAAAGCUACUGGCUCCCACUAAUCUCUUCAGAUUACUCCUGGCUCUAACCACCUUUCGCCAGAGAAACUUGCAUUUGUAUUAAGUUUGUAGAAAUAUCCACAUUGUGGGAAUUGCCACAUCUAAUAUGGUGUCCUUAAUCUCUCUCUGCCAUCACAUUAUGAUCUGGAACUUUU
rnacentral:lncRNA from 1 species